rnacentral:lncRNA from 10 species
GCUGGGGCCCUAGAGGAAGAGGAGAGCGAGCGAGGGGAGGCUGCCGGGCAGCCGGGGAAGGCGGUGGAGGCCCGGAGGAGGGGAGGGGGCGGGGAGAGGGGCGGGCGGGAGGCGGGCAGGAGAGGGACCGCCCCGCGGAGGCGCCGCGGACGCCCGCCCUCUUCACCUGUUGCCCGACUCCCAGCGGCGGAGAAGGCGCCGCGUCGCACCCAGGGUGGCUGGGUUGGCAGCCUGGCGGGCGGCGCGGAGGAGAGGGCGCAGGGGUCCUUCUGGCCGUCUUCCGCUCCCCCUCCCGGCCUUUACUUCUGUCAGGCCCCGCCUGGCCCAGGCCCGCAGCCUGUUUCCUUCCACCUGGGCGGGUCGGGGGCUGCGGGCAUUGGGGCCCCUUAAGGAAACCCAGGCCUCCAGGGACUCCGCCGCUCCAGGACUCGGCGCGGAGGGAAUGACUGAGCGACGACCGAGGCAGGGGGUGAUGUGGUACCUCGAAUGCUGUGGAAAUGGCAGGAAUGAUGACCCGGCCGGACCUUAGACCCGAGAUCGAUGAGAGGCCGCCAGCACUGCCCGGGAGACGGCCCGCUCUUCUCCCCCUCCUGCUGCGGCCGCCGCCAGAGCCCGGUGUUAUUUCCUGCCCCUCCUGUCGGGAACAAUUUGAGGAACCAACUUAAUCGCUUGGCUUUGAGGGCGCGACGCUUCCAGGCGCUCUCCGCGGCUCUGUCCCGCGGACCGGUGGAGCCUGGGUGACGGCGCCUGGGCCGGAGGAGGGGAGAUGUUUGGGGUCCCUGGCCAGGAUGAAUCAGCGUAACCGUCCCGUCACCCUCGGGGAAAAAAAAUGUUUCAAGAAGGCUUGAAGGGUGUGAUUUGUGUAAUGUUAACUUUAGGACAAAUGAGCUGUGCUUUCCUGGCAUGGGAAGGGGAUGGGGGUCCUCAUUUAGUGAGGCAGUUUGUAACAGGGUCAGGGAAGAACUGAGCUCGGCUGCGUGCGUUUAUCGGCUGUAUGACCCAGAGCGAGUGGCUCUAGUUUUUGGACCUCAGUAAUGCCAUCUCUAAAAUGCAGGCUUUGACAGAUGGACCUCUGAACAAAAAGAUUAUCUUCCGCUUGGUCCCUCCUUCUAUUUUGUGAAAGGGUAGCAAGAAACAUUUUAUCUGGAAGCCACCAAAAGAAAAGGAAAUAAUCUUUGGCUAUAAAUCGAGGGUAUCUUUGAUUCACAGUGAAGGCAUUUCUGCUGAUCUGUUCCAAGACAGGUUAAAAACGAGAUCAGAAGGGACAUUUUCUUCACAGUGUCUUAUCAAGUGUGCUGAGAAGAAAGCAAAAACGACAAUCUAAUAAAAUAAAACAAGGAAUUAGUGUCUUUUAAGUCUAGGGCCUAGCCAGGAAGACCUCCAGGAGUAAAAGUUAAGGCUUCAAAAGCAUGGCAAAGAUGUAGAUUUGGAGAGAUUCCAUCCAUGUGCAUUUGGUAAGCACCUUGGGCUGGUGGGUAAAUUCUUAAAAUUUAAAAUAUAGCACUUCUCCCUGGAGCAGUAGUUCUCAAAGUGGUCCUUGGACCAACAGCAGGUAAGUUCCCUGGGAACUUAUCAAAAAUGCAAGGUCUCAAGCCCCACCCCCAGACCCUCUGAAUCAGAAACUCUGAGGGUGGAGCCAGGAAGCUGUGUUUGAACAAGCCCUCCAAAAGACACUGAUGCAUGCUGAAGUUAGCUGCUGCUUUAGAGAAACUGUUAAUGAGUUUGGGGAAAUAAGAGAUACAUACAUGAAAUGGCUGGAGGAGACUCAAGCAUUAUGCAUGACAUUUAGUGAACGUAAAAGACGGAGUCUAGACAACUUUAUUUCCAUAAUAUUAACAAAGGACAAUCCUCUCUUAAAAUUCCUGGGGUCAGAUGAAUUUCUAAAUUCAGAUUUUGUUUUUCAAUUUAGAAAGGUAAAAUGUGCAUGUACCAUAUAUUACAUAAUACCUUUGGUAAGGUCUGGGGUGACACUCUAAUAUACUAAUUUUCUGCAAGGGAAAUCAUGAAUGACAUAAGUGUAUGCUUGGAUUAUCUACUGCAAUGUAAUAAAUGUUCACAAAAUAUUAGUGGCUUAAAAUCACCAUUUUAUUUGCUCAGAAAUCUGUUGUGUCAGGAAUUUGGGAAGGGCUUGGCUGGCAGGUUCUUCUGCUUUGCAU